UCCGGAUUCACCCCCUAAGUCCGAUCCCUUGGAAAUCCAUCGGAACUCCCGUGCCACUGAUCCCUAGAAUCUGGCGACGAAGUGAAAGCGGAAGGUAAUUUCACAGACAAACAGACGUAACACUCUGACAUUUCCCAUCGUACACAGAUGUAACGGAAUAUUUAAAAUUUUUAUAGUUGGCCAACUGAACUACCCACCCGUGGCGCUCGCAUCGUUUUUCUUCGAGUUUGACGUUUGCCCACUUCCGCCACCUAGUUGAUGGUCGGCCAAACUCAGUCCUUUUAGUAUUGGGCGAACAGGUUUUCCGGAACUAUGAUUUGAAUCGCAAAAUGCUCGAAGUUUUAAGUCUGUGUUUCUGUGGUAAUAUUAUUAUAUUUUAUGACAAUUUGAGUAUAAUUGUUGGUGAAAAAUGGAGUCUACCGUUUUGGAUAGCGUUUUGAUCUCGGAUCUAAAAUGGAGUUCCUAUCAUUUGAUUGCGAUUGAAAUGAUCCACAGCUUGGAGAUACUACCAUUAUGGUAGCGAUAGGAUCUUGGAUCUAUAAAAGGAGUUUCUACCAUUUUCGUAGCGGUGGAUCUUGGAUCCAGACAAUGGAGUUUCUACUGUGUCAGUAGUGUUCGGAUUUUCAAUGGAGUUAUCUUUUUAUUGGCGGCUUGAUUGGCGGCGAUCAGAUUUACCGAUUUUUGAAUACUUUGCUGCCCCCAUUCGCAUGACAGUCCCAUAUGAAUAGGAAACCCAGCAAAGAUGGGACUGUUAUGCGAGUGAGGGCAGUUUGGUACCAUUACGUUUUUGAUUGAUUUGUGGAAAGUAGAAAUUAAAUGGCUUUUUCAGUCUCGACAAAAUUGAAAUUUAAAAUAUUGAAAUUUUUUAAAACAAUUUGCAAGAGAUGUGCGACAAUUUCGGCUAAUACAUUUUGUUGAGGCCAAUAUGGUAUUGUAUUGACUAAUUGAAUCCCGUUUUCCAAGCAAAACUUUUCAAUCCGUUACAAUUCUAACUCAGCUGGGGUCCAUUAUCGGCUCUCAACGAAACUGGAAGCCUGUACCGACCGAAAUUAACGCUCAGUUCUUAAAGGUACAGCUUGAACAUUUAUCGUUGUCUUCUCCUUAAUUUCUACGUACCGAUUGUAGUAAUCCACUACGACAAGCAAGUAUUGCCCGUCAGGUAGCGGACCAAGAAAAUUAACUGCAACAUCUUCCCAAUGUGCUGAAGGCAACUCCUUUCUUUCUUUUUGAAGAUGAGUUUUCAUCAUUCUGCUUCCUGGGUGGCCUUCAUGUGCCAAUGCUAGAACCCUAUUUUCAAGCUUCUGUGGAAUGAUCAGACGGUCCGUUCUGAGCAAAACAUCUCCAACUUGGCGCAGAGUUCUUUAGCGAUGAUUACUAUGUAUGCAAUUGGAAUUUCCGCCUGCCGAUUCACUUUGAUCAACUCCUGUAUAUUUCUUAUUUCUUCAUCUUUCAUCGACGCCUGUUUGAUUUCAUUCCAGCUUAACGCAAUCGAGUUGGCUGCAGAUGUUACAAUUUCUUGGAUCAGAAAUUCCUCACUGCUAUCGAAAGGCUUGGGAUCCAGAACUGCCAGUCUGGACAGCGCAUCAGCUGCAUUAGUUUCUCCAGAAAUAUGCACCACAUUAUACUCGAAAACUUGUAAACGAAGUACCUCUCAAUUCUAGCGCAUGCAAUGCUAGCAAUGCUUUGCAGUCUGUUACUAAAUCGAACUGUCUUCCCAUCAGAUAUACUUGAAAUCAACUACUCAAACUAGCGCUAGUACUCCCUUCUCUGUUUGGCAAUAUUUUGAUUCAGUAUCAGUUAACGAUUUUGAGGCAUAACUAACUAUACGGACUUGUCUUUGUGUAUCAUAUUGAGCAAGGAUAUCUCCUAGACCUACGGGGCUGGCAUCGCCCAUUACAGUCGUGCGAUCUUUAACGUCAUAAUACCCAAGUUGCCUAACCUGACUCAUCUUUUUAAUUUCCUCAAACGCCUUCGUGUGUUCCGAUCUCCACUCAAAGGUAGUCCUUUUUGCAUUAUUUUCGAAGAGGCUUAUCAAUAGUCGCUAAGUUAGCAAUGGACUUGUUUAUGUAAUUGGAAAGACCCAGGAAACUAUUGAGUUUCUAGAGAUUUUCCAGCAUUUCGACAAAAAUGAGUUGUCAGGGGUCGGGUACGUGAAGGUUAAGUACGUCACGCUAAAAUUGUGAUUUUUCAACCCCCCUCCCCCCUUCGUACGGGUUUUUCCUAUACCUAAUACAUUGCUUGUCACACUUUACCACAUCAACGUGGUGCUGUUGACGGUGGACAAUUUCUGGAAGAUUUAGGAUUUUAGAAUUACUCGGGCAUUGUUACUUCUGGACCUAAGAUUUUUUUUUGUUAUAUCUGCAAAACAUCCGUGAGAAAUUAAAGCUGAGCUCUUUUGGGAAUUACCAACUCUUUUGAGGACCAAUCCAGAAUUUUCUUUAUGAUUUCCUUAAACAAUGUUUUCCAAUAUAACGUGAUGGUAACCCGUCCGACGAUUUUUUUAAUGUCUACAUAAUAUCUUCCAUGACUAACUGGAGUUCUUUCAGUAAUAAUCAUCCAGUUUGUAUAUGCUUAUUGGCAAUCUUAGAAUGUCCUGGACCUUUAUUUCUCUAAGAAUAAACCUUCAGUUGAAUUGUUCCGAGUACAUCCUUGCCGGAUUCUCCCUAAAGAUGGUUUUAUAAACACUGCAUAUACUAAACUCAGAGUAUAAUCCUACAGAAAUGUCCUGCUCCUAAAGUCCUAUCGGGAUUCUUGUUUUAAACCACAAUAUAUGGUUCAAGAGUACAUAUUUACUCAUUUUUUGACGUUUUUAUUACCCGUAGUUGAAAAUAUAUAAUUUUUAUUUUUUUAGCCUUUUGUCUCGUCCCUAGCUUAUAACACAUACUUUGAGUGAUUUUUUUUCACCGUGUAUGUCAGAUAGGAACAUUUUUGAAAUCCCAGUGCGAAAAAUGUCGAGCUCAGUCACACGAGGUUGACCUCAAAUGUCAAAGUAGAACUAUUUACACGGAACUACAAAUCAACCCAAUCCCGGUCUUCCGUGGAAUAACUCAAAUUUGCGUCAAACAGCGAAAGUGGUGAGUGAGUAGUUCUCGUUUGAGAGCGGCAAAAAAAUUAACCCACUGGUAAGUUAUUUUCACCCAACGGAGGCCUCAAAUGACGCAAAUUUGGGUUAACUCAAGAAAACCCAAAUUUGGCUUCUUCCACGGAAGAGCAGCGGAUGCGUCGGUGCUUCUCUCUUUGUUUUUGACAACAUUGCGGUGGGGCGAGGGAGAAAACAACCCAACUUUGAGUUAAAACUAAAAGCAGUUUAGCCAAAUUUGAGUUUUUAAAACUUAUUCUUUGGGUUUUAAUAUUUUUCCGUGUACCAUUUUACUUAUUUUGAAUUUUCUCAUUAUUCCUUUGUUUUUCAAGUUCGAGUAAAGUACAAUUCCGAUUAGAAUACCAUGCUUGAUCGUAUUAUCUAUCUAUCUAUCUAUCUAUCUAUAUAUAUAAAAAUGGAUUUCCGUCUGUCUGUCUGUCUGUCUGUCGGUCUGUCUGUCUGUCUGUCUGUCUGUCUGUCUGUCUGUCUGUCUGUCUGACCGCUAUGCAUUCAGAAACUACUGAACCGAUCGGUGUGAAAUUUUGUAUGUGGGUAUUCUUGGGCCCGGGGAAGGUUCUUAGCUUGGUGUGAGACCUCUCCGGUCUCUGGAGGGGGGGGGGGGGGGGCUCCCAAAGAAAUGAACCGGAAAUGAGGUGAGAGAGAAGUUUAACACGGUCGCAAACAAAAUCAAUCUAGAGUGCGGUGCUCCAGUGACCGCAGUCCAGUGACAAUUGACCAAUUUGAAUUGCCAAUACAAAUGUUGGAGCAAACACAGCGCGGCGGUGGCUGGCCAGGUGGGCCCCGAAAGCCACAGAGGAAAGGCCGGGGGAUUCUGACCCAAGUGGUGUGACGACGGCUUCGUCACGAAGAAACAGUCCCGGAAUGGCCGGGCGCUUGGCAGCGGGCAGCAUGGGUCGAGAAAAACGGCGGGGAGACAAGGGCGGGCCGACAAGGAUGAUGGCUGGCAAGGUUGGCAUCGAUAGCCACCGAGGAAAGGCCGUGGUUUCUGACUCCCGUGGUGUGCCGACUUUGUCCCGAGGAAACAUGCCCGGAAGGACUGGGAAAUUGGCAUGAGAGAACUGCCACCAACCGGCAGGUUUCUGAGGAUAAUUUACGAUACGGAAAAACCGGAUGAUUUUUUUUUCUGGAGGGGGGCCAGGGGACCUGACUUGAAAUGAUUUUUAAGCGGCAUAGUCGCACGAUAUGUGAAUAUGCAAAUCUGGAUUGCAGUUUUGAAGGAUCAAAAUAAAUGGAUUCUCCCAGAGAUUCCUUCAAGAAUGCAUCUAGGGAUUACACCAGACAUUUCUUUGGGAUUUGUCCUUAAGUGAGGAUUUAAAUAUCUUCAAAUCCAGAAAUUCCUUAAACAUUUUGUAAAAAAAACUUUAAGAGUCCAUUCAAUUGUCUAAAAAUUAUUGCAGACACGGAUUUAUUCAGAUUUUUUUAUCCAGAAAUUUCUACAGAUUUUUUUCCAGAAAUUCGCUAAUAAAAAUAUCCUGUGAUUUCCUAAGGAAUUCCUCAUGGGGUUUAUUCAGAAGUUCACCUGGGAAUUCCUUCUGUGAUUUUUUCAGGAACAACAUUCGGGAGUAUUUAAAAAAUGACUUCAAGCACUUUUUUGGGAUUUUUCCAGAAAUUUCUUCAGGAAUUGUUCCUGGAUUACUCUGUGAAUUCCUUCAGGGAUUCGUCUAAAAAAUCCUACAGGGAUUCGUCCAGGAAUUCCUCUAUAAAGUCCGCUAGAGAUUCCACUAGAAAUUACUCCAGAUAUUCCUCUAGAGAUUCCACCAGGUGUUCAUCCAGAAACUCCGACAGGAAAUCUUUCAGGGAUUUGUCCAAGAGUUCCUCCAGAGAUUGUACCUGAAAGUUCUCCAAUGAAUCUUCAAGAAAAUCUUCCAGAAAUUCAUCUAGGGAUUGCUCUAGAGAUUCCUCCAGGAGUUCCUUAGAAGAUAGCUAAAGGCAGUUCUCUAGAGAUUUCCCCAGAUAUUCUCUCAGGUAUGUCUACUGGAAUUCCUUCAGAAGCUCCUCCAGACAUUCCUCCAGGAGUUCCUCUAGGAAUUGCUGUAGGAAUUCCUUCACGAAUUCUUCUCCAGGGAUUUUUGUAGGGAUUCCUCCAGGGACUCCUCCAGGAAUACCUUUGAGAAUUCCACCAGGAAUUCAUGCAGAAUUUACCUCAGGAAUUCUGGAUUUCAUCCAGGCAUUUCAUCCAGGAUUGCCACCAAGAACACCUCAAAGAAUUACCCCAAGAAUUGAUCCACAAAAUCCUCCAGGGAUUCCUUUUUGAAAUUCUUUCAAGAAUUUCUUCAGUAAUUCCUCCAGGAGUUUUUCCAGGGAUUCCUCCGGGAAUUCUUCCAGGGUUUCCUUGAAGAAUUUUUCCAGAAGUUUCUCCUCCAGGUAUUCCUCCAGAGAUUUCUCAAGGAAUUGGUUCAAGGGAUCCCUCCAGGAAUCCCACCAGCAUUCCCUCCAGGAAUUCCUUCAGGAAUUGGUCCAGGUAUUUACCAGAAAUUCCUCUAAAGAUUCUUCCAGAGAUUCCUCCAGAGAUUCCUCCAGGAAUUCCUCCGAUGAUUCUUCCAAUAAUUCAUCCAGAUAUUCCUCCAAGAUUUUUUCCAGGAAUUCCUCCAGAAAUUCCUCUGGAAAUUUCUAAAUUAAAUUUCUGCAGGGAUUCCUUAAGGAGUUCCUCUGGAGAUUUCUUAGGGAUUCCUCGAGAAAUUCCGCCAGUGAUUCCUCCAGGUAUUUCUCUAGAGAUACCUCAUGAAAUUACUGUAGAGCUCAUUGCAGUGAUCGAUGAAGUGACGUAAGAGCAGUCGACCUGCUGCACUAUGAUUCCAGACUGAUACGAAGGUUUAACGUAGCUGCCGUUAGAGUUGAGUCGUUCGCGCUACGGGAACAACAGUUCAAUAACAAGACUUGAGCGGAAGAGCAAACUAUGCGGAAAUCUUUGUUGAUGUGUUGCUUGCGAAAUGAUAUUCGGAAUCAGUUGAAUAAAAUAUUUCACGAGAUAUGCUGGAGGUUGCUCCAGGGAUGCCUCUACAAACUCUAUACUCUUCAAUGGGAGUUUUUCUAGCAAUUCUUGAAACAGUUUGUUCUACAAAAAAUUCUCAGAAAAAAACCUGAAGGAGAAAUUUCUCGCAAAACUUCUGCAAAACCUUCUGGUAGGAUAUCAUUGAGAAUUCAAAGAGCAAUGGAAAAAAAUCCUUCACUAAAUUUGUUUAGGUAAGACAUGAGGGAUUUUCUUACGCAUGAUAUGAGCUUUCAUAAAAAAGAAUUUCUGUAGAAUGGUGCAAAUCAGUAAAAGAUUAAACUUUGAAAUAGUUUAUAGCUAUAUUCUUUUAAAUAAAGUAAAAGCAAGGUAGGUUGCAAGAACCAAUCGAACCUGGUGCAGAGAAGGUGUAAACCUGAACUUCAUUCAAGUUAAUAUGUGACGUUCAAAUACAUAAAUAAGAAAAUAUCGCAAAAUCUUUGACGGUUCCAAAUAUCUCCCAUUCCCGUCAUAUUCUUUUUCGUUACCGCUCAUUUCUACAGCCAUGUUAUAUAAUUUGUAGGGACACCACAGUUACAGUGAUACUUGACCCUUUCACUUCUGUGAUAUUUUCUUGCUGUAUUUACACAAGAAACGUGAAGGGUCCGACGCUCAACAUAAAAUACAAAACAAAAACCAAUAAUUUGUAACCAAACGGUUACAAAACACUGAAAAAAAGCAAAAGGAACUAAAUUUGACAUAUGGUGUUUUUGAAGGCUGGGAAUGUCAAAAAUAUUGUGAGUUCCUUUCCAUCUAUUAAAAGGCAAAAUACCCGAAUGGACAUUAGGCAGAAUGGCCAUUGAACCAAAAUGCCAUCAGACAAAAUGAUCAUCAUUCCCGCAUUGUCACACAGGUGUACUUCCUGAUAUUUAUGCUGCUCAUUCCAUCUGAGAUUUUUCCAUCUUUUAAAAAUAGGUAAUUCUGUCGUAUUACUCUACUAUGAAGGAAUGGGCAUUCAUGAAAAAAAUGAUCGACAAAAGAUUAAAUUAAUUCAGACAAUUAAACACAAACUGUGUGUUUUCAAGUAACACGCAUGUUCUGAUAGAAGUUUGAACUUAUUCUUAGUCAAAAUGUGGAGGUUGAUGAAGACCAGAAAUUUUUUCUAUGGUGGCGGGUAAAGGUAAAGGCUCUCUUACAGAUAAAACAUGACUCAUAACUCAAAAAAUAAUCAAGGAAAUAAAACAAAAUGUGGCAUGUGGAUGAUUUUGAAGAUAAGGAACGUUUCAAAAUUUGAGGGUCUGCGACCCCUCCUUUAUCUGGGAGCAGCACCUCACCACCCUAAUGAAACAAAAUUGUCUGCAUUAUAUGUGCAAAACGAACUAAUUUUGGGUAUGUGGACAUUUUUCAAGGCAUGAAAUGUCUGUAAUAUUGUGAGUCCUUCCAGAGGGUGGAGGAGGUUCUUAUACAAAUAAAAUAUAAAUUUUUGCAUAACUAGGAAAAAGUGUACGGCCGACGGUUAUUAGCUCGACAUCAUCGGACAUCAGGCCGAAUGUCCAUUGAAUCCACAGGCAUAAUGAUCACCAUGCCAUCUUUGUCACACAGGUUGGACUUCCUGCUGCUUAUAAUGCUCACUCCAUCACAGGUUUUUCCUUCUUUUAGUAAUAGGCUGUUCUUUUAAGUCCCGCUUUCUUUACGGACCAACUGCUAAAAAUUACUGCAUAUCUAAAUGUUUCCUUCUUCUUAUCGAAGGUCUUUCUUUCGAGUGGCACUGUUGAGUAAGUUUAUGGCAGUUGAACUGUUACGGUCAUAUAUGAUUUGUCAAUUUUAGUCACUUUGAUAAAGAAUUGAUUAGCAAUCAAACCACCAAAUGGCAUUAUUAUUCUGAGAUUUUUCCUUCUUUUAAAAUCGUGAUCGUUUUUAAUAAAAUUACAAAUUACAAAUUAAAUUACAAAUUAAAAUAGACUAUUCUUUUGCACUGUUAUGAAAGAAUGGGCCUUCACAUAAAAAAUAAGAUAAAACGGAUGGGGAAAAUGUAGCAAAUGGAAGAUAACGUGCCUCUAAGGCCGGCAUUCCAAUGUAUAUACAAAUUAAUUUACAUACCCUUUGAUACCAUACAACUAAUUAAUGAAUGAAAUGAUCAACACGAUUUUUGAACAAUUCAAUUUGUCCUCAUGGUGGCUUUUAAAAACAAAAAACUGAGACGUAGUGCAUGAGCAAAAAUUAAAAUGGGCAAUACAAGGUUUGCCGGGUCAGCUAGUCUAUCUAUAUAAAAAUGAAUUUCUGUCUGUCUGUCUGUCUGUCUGUCUGUCUGUCUGUCUGACCGCUAUGCAUUCGAAAACUACUGAACCGAUCGGUGUGAAAUUUUGUGUGUGGGUGCUGUUAGGGCCGGGGAAGGUUCUUAGCUUGGUGUGAGACUUCUCUGAUCUCUGGAACGGGAGGCUCCCAUACAGGUGACUUUGCGGGGGACGUCCCUAUGGAGCAACAUGUCAAAAAACGCAGUAGUCAGGCAGUACGACGUUUAUCGGGACAGCAAUCUAGAGUGCGUUGCUAAGAUGCCAUUGCUCAACAAAUGUCAAAUUGGUAGUGUUCACGCUGCAGGUUUUUUACCCUUCUUACACCCAUAAGAAGGGUAUAAAUACCGCUUGGAAAACCGACUUUCGAUCCGAGGCCCGCAGGGCCGAGUCACAUAUACCAAUCAACUCAGCUCGACGAAUUGAGCAAAUGUCUGUAUGUGCGUGUGUGUGUAUGUGUGUGUGUAUGUGUGUGUGUAUGUAUGUUACAAAAAAAUGUCACUCACGGUUCUCAGCCGUCUGUUGACCGAUUUAAGUUCUCUUGGAAGCAAAUGAAAGCUACUACAUCCUAGUAGAACGCUAUUGAAUUUUAUUUUGAUUGGACGUUCGGUUACCGAGAUAUCUUUCAAAGAGUGCUAGGGAGUAGUACAACUUAAUUAUUUUAGAUAUUUUUGACAAAGUGUAUCACCAUAAAUUUCUCAGCCGUCUAUCAACCGAUUUGGGUUCUUAAGGCCCCAAACGAAAGCUACUACAUCCUAGUAGAACGCUAUUGAAUUUUUUUUUGAUUGGACGUUCGGUUACCGCGAUAUCUUUCAAAGAGUGCUAGGGAGUAGUACAACUUAAUUAUUUUAGAUAUUUUUGACAAAGUGUAUCACCAUAAAUUUCUCAGCCGUCUAUCAACCGAUUUGGGUUCUUAAGGCCCCAAACGAAAGCUACUACAUCCUAGUAGAACGCUAUUGAAUUUUUUUUUUGAUUGGACGUUCGGUUACCGAGAUAUCUUUCAAAGAGUGCUAGGGAGUAGUACAACUUAAUUAUUUUAGAUAUUUCUGACAAAGUGUAUCACCAUAAAUUUCUCAGCCGUCUAUCAACCGAUUCGGGUUCUUAAGGCCCGAAACGAAAGCUACUGCACCCUAAAAGAACGCUUUUGAAUUUCAUUCCGAUUGGACAUUUUGUAACCGAGAUAUCUUUCGGGGAGUACUUUGGAGUAAUACAACUUAACUUUUUAAGAGGUCUUUGACAAAAUGCUUCAUAAUAAAUGAAUCAGCCGUGUGUCAAUCGAUUUGAGUUCUCUCAGCAUCAAAUGAAAGCUACAGCAUCCAAGUAGUAUGCUAUUAAAUUUCAUGCCGUUUGGACAUUUUGUUUCCGAGAUAUCUUUCCACGAGUACUAAGGAGUAAUGAAAUUUACGCUUUUGAGAGAUUUUUGAUAAAAUGUAUCAUAAUACAUUUCUCAGCCGUUUGUCAACAGAUUUUUUAUGAUCAUAUUUGGUUACACAAGUUAGUUAUACAUGAAAAUGCAAUUGCAUCAAAUACAUAAAAGCUACUAUCUCUUUGUAAUAUUUGAGCUUAAUAAACAGUAGCAAAACUAUCACGGAAUGUAUGUAGGAAAAGCCUUUUUACCCUUCUUACACCCAUAAGAAGGGUAUAAAUAUCGCUCGAAAAACCGACUUUCGAUCCGAGGCCCGGAGGACCGAGUCUCAUAUACCAAUGAACUCAGCUCGACGAACUGAGCAAAUGUCUGUAUGUGUGUGUGUGUGUGUAUGUGUGUAUGUGUGUAUGUGUGUGUGUGUAUGUGCGUUACAAAAAAAAAGUCACGCACGUUUCUCAGCCGUCUGUCAACCGAUUUGAGUUCUCUUGGAAGCAAAUGAAAGCUACCACAUCCUAGUAGAACGCUAUUGAAUUUUUUUUCGAUUGGACGUUUGGUUACCGAGAUAUCUCUCGAAGAGUACUUAUGAGUCAUACAUCUGAACUUUUUAAGAUUU